rnacentral:rRNA from 1 species
AACGAACGUUAGCGGCGCGCUUAACACAUGCAAGUCGCACGAGAAAGGGCUUCGGCCCCGGUAAAGUGGCGCACGGGUGAGUAACACGUGGGUAAUCUGCCCUCGAGCGGGGGAUAACAUCUCGAAAGGGAUGCUAAUACCGCAUAAGACCACAGCCUCGAAAGAGGCAGCGGUCAAAGCAGGCCUCUGUAUACAAGCUUGCACUUGAGGAUGAGCCCGCGGCCCAUCAGCUAGUUGGCAGGGUAACGGCCUACCAAGGCGACGACGGGUAGCUGGUCUGAGAGGAUGAUCAGCCACACUGGAACUGAGACACGGUCCAGACUCCUACGGGAGGCAGCAGUGGGGAAUCUUGCGCAAUGGGCGAAAGCCUGACGCAGCGACGCCGCGUGGGUGAUGAAGGCC